rnacentral:rRNA from 1 species
GAUGAACGCUGACAGAAUGCUUAACACAUGCAAGUCAACUUGAACUUCGGUUUGGGUGGCGGACGGGUGAGUAACGCGUAAAGAACUUGCCUCACAGAUAGGGACAACAUUUGGAAACGAAUGCUAAUACCUGAUAUUAUGAUUUUAGGGCAUCCUAGGAUUAUGAAAGCUAUAUGCGCUGUGAGAGAGCUUUGCGUCCCAUUAGCUAGUUGGAGAGGUAACGGCUCACCAAGGCGAUGAUGGGUAGCCGGCCUGAGAGGGUGAUCGGCCACAAGGGGACUGAGACACGGCCCUUACUCCUACGGGAGGCGGCAGUGGGGAAUAUGGGACAAUGGACCAAGAGUCUGAUCCAGCAAUUCUGUGUGCACGAUGAAGUUUUUCGGAAUGUAAAGUGCUUUCAGUUGGGAAGAAAAAAAUGACGGUACCAACAGAAGAAGUGACGGCUAAAUACGUG